UGGUUAGUCACGCGACAUCGUGACAGUUCUAUAUAUGUGCGCGCACGCUCUGCACGUCACGGCAAUACCGCGACGCCCUGUAUCGCAGUAUGCGAAGCGCUCCAUCGCGUGGUUCGUCGGCCCUGCCAGCCUGGCGAUGUGGGCCGGCCACCCCCCACCGCCGAGACGGCGCAGGAAGACUUCCGCCGGCGAACGCGUCUCCGGACCGGAAGUAAGGAAGCGGCGCACGAACGAACGCGUGCCUGGGGCGGUGAGACCCGCAGCCGACGUGGAGUCACUGUCGGUCUCGACAGAGAGACCCCCGAAAAAAAGCUCGGACAAACUUGGGCCGGCAACGCCCUCUACAUUUAUCAGACGUCAACGCAGCGCGGACACCGACUGUUGAAGUGUCCCACGAAAGGCGCUCACCCCACCAUUGCAUGGAAGCCUGAGCAACGGAUGAAAAGGAGGGGGACAACGCCGACGAACCGGGUGUCGCAGAUUGCUUUCUUGCCACAGACUCCAAACCAGUCUCUUCGGAGGCGUAGUUACGGCGGGUUAUUGUGAGCACGGAUGUGGUACCGCCACGAAGUCGAGGGGUGUGAUUUUCUGAUGGACAGUCUUCAGAUUGCCUAGUCGCCUCGCCUGGGGAAAACGACAGGAUUUUUCGAGAGUGAGGACAGAGGGUCCUGAUAUGAACUUAGACGUUUAACUUGCUCCUGCAUGGAGUGGGCUCCCGUAACUGGAGCCGUGUAACUAAGCUAAAUAAACCCAUUUUCCUUCAUUUUAUACAA